GACGGACGCUGGCGGCGUGCUUAACACAUGCAAGUCGAACGGAAAGGCCCUGCUUUUGUGGGGUGCUCGAGUGGCGAACGGGUGAGUAACACGUGAGUAACCUGCCCUUGACUUUGGGAUAACUUCAGGAAACUGGGGCUAAUACCGGAUAGGAGCUCCUGCUGCAUGGUGGGGGUUGGAAAGUUUCGGCGGUUGGGGAUGGACUCGCGGCUUAUCAGCUUGUUGGUGGGGUAGUGGCUUACCAAGGCUUUGACGGGUAGCCGGCCUGAGAGGGUGACCGGCCACAUUGGGACUGAGAUACGGCCCAGACUCCUACGGGAGGCAGCAGUGGGGAAUAUUGCACAAUGGGCGGAAGCCUGAUGCAGCAACGCCGCGUGCGGGAUGACGGCCUUCGGGUUGUAAACCGCCUUCGCCUGUGACGAAGCGUGAGUGACGGUAAUGGGUAAAGAAGCACCGGCUAACUACGUG
rnacentral:rRNA from 1 species